rnacentral:tRNA from 1 species
GGUGGCUCAGGGGUAGAGUGCUUGCCUUGCAUGCAAGAGGCCCUGGGUUCGAUUCCUUAGCACCA